rnacentral:rRNA from 1 species
GACGAGGGACCCUAGCGUUGUUCGGAAUCAUUGGGCGUAAAGCGGGUGUAGGUGGCUUUGUAAGUCAGAUGUGAAAUCCCUGGGCUCAACCCAGGACGUGCAUUUGAUACUGCGAAGCUUGAGUGCCGGAGAGGUUACUGGAAUACCUGGUGUAGUGGUGAAAUACGUAGAUAUCAGGUGGAACACCGGAGGCGAAGGCGGGUAACUGGCCGGACACUGACACUCAGACCCUAAAGCGUGGGGAUCAAACAGG